rnacentral:rRNA from 1 species
GGACGGAGCAGGCUAAACAAGCAUGGCGUUGGUUGUCCAUGUGAAAGUGAGUAGGUUGGUGACUUAGGAAAAUCCGGGUUGCUAAGACUGAGACACGAGACGAGCCACUAAGGUGGUGAAGUUGUUGAUGCCAUACUUCCAGGAAAAGCCUCUAAGCUUCAGAUUAUACCGAAUCGUACCCCAAACCGACACAGGUGGUCAGGUAGAGAAUACUAAGGCGCUUGAGAGAACUCGGGUGAAGGAACUAGGCAAAAUUGUACCGUAACUUCGGGAGAAGGUACGCUCCUAUCUGUGAUGAGACUUGCUCUCUAAGCGGACGGGAGCCGCAGUGACCAGGUGGCUGGGACUGUUUAUUAAAAACACAGCACUGUGCAAAAUCGCAAGAUGACGUAUACGGUGUGACACCUGCCCGGUGCCGGAAGGUUAAUUGAUGGGGUUAGUUUUCGGACGAAGCUCUUGAUCGAAGCCCCGGUAAACGGCGGCCGUAACUAUAACGGUCCUAAGGUAGCGAAAUUCCUUGUCGGGUAAGUUCCGACCUGCACGAAUGGUGUAACCAUGGCCACGCUGUCUCCACCCGAGACUCAGUGAAAUUGAAAUCGCAGUGAAGAUGCUGUGUACCCGCGGCUAGACGGAAAGACCCCGUGAACCUUUACUACAGCUUGGCACUGAACAUUGACCCUACAUGUGUAGGAUAGGUGGGAGGCUUUGAAGCAGAAACGCUAGUUUUUGUGGAGCCGUCCUUGAAAUACCACCCUUGUAGUGUUGAUGUUCUAACGUUGGCCCCUAAUCGGGGUUACGGACAGUGCCUGGUGGGUAGUUUGACUGGGGCGGUCUCCUCCCAAAGAGUAACGGAGGAGCACGAAGGUUGGCUAAGUACGGUCGGACAUCGUACGGUUAGUGUAAUGGUAGAAGCCAGCUUAACUGCGAGACAGACACGUCGAGCAGGUACGAAAGUAGGUCAUAGUGAUCCGGUGGUUCUGAAUGGAAGGGCCAUCGCUCAACGGAUAAAAGGUACUCCGGGGAUAACAGGCUGAUACCGCCCAAGAGUUCAUAUCGACGGCGGUGUUUGGCACCUCGAUGUCGGCUCAUCACAUCCUGGGGCUGAAGUCGGUCCCAAGGGUAUGGCUGUUCGCCAUUUAAAGUGGUACGCGAGCUGGGUUUAGAACGUCGUGAGACAGUUCGGUCCCUAUCUGCCGUGGGCGUUUGAGAAUUGAGAGGGGUUGCUCCUAGUACGAGAGGACCGGAGUGAACGAACCGCUGGUGUUCGGGUUGUCAUGCCAAUGGCACUGCCCGGUAGCUACGUUCGGAACUGAUAAGCGCUGAAAGCAUCUAAGCGCGAAGCAGGCCUCGAGAUGAGUUCUCACUAGACUUUUAAAGUCUCUGAAGGGCCGUUGAAGACUACAACGUUGAUAGGCAGGAUGUGGAAGUGGUGUGAGCCAUUAAGCUAACCUGUACUAAUUACCCGUGAGG